rnacentral:rRNA from 1 species
UGAGUAAUGUCUGGGAAACUGCCUGAUGAGGGGGAGUAACUACUGGAAACGGUAGCUAAUACCGCAUAACGUCGCAAGACCAAAGAGGGGGACCUUCGGGCCUCUUGCCAUCGGAUGUGCCCAGAUGGGAUUAGCUAGUAGGUGGGGUAACGGCUCACCUAGGCGACGAUCCCUAGCUGGUCUGAGAGGAUGACCAGCCACACUGGAACUGAGACACGGUCCAGACUCCUACGGGAGGCAGCAUG